rnacentral:rRNA from 1 species
UGCAAGUCGAACGAAAGUCUUCGGAUUUUAGUGGUGGACGGGUGAGUAACGCGUGAGGAUCUGCCUAUAGGUUGGGGACAACAGAUGGAAACGUCUGCUAAUACCCAAUGUGCCGAGAGGUGAAAGCUUUAGUGCCUGUAGAUGAGCUCGCGUCUGAUUAGCUAGUAGGUGUGGUAAUGGCGCACCUAGGCGACGAUCAGUAACUGGUCUGAGAGGAUGACCAGUCACACUGGGACUGAGACACGGCCCAGACUCCUACGGGAGGCAGCAGUGGGGAAUUUUCCGCAAUGGGCGAAAGCCUGACGGAGCAAUACCGCGUGAGGGACGAAGGCUUUUGGGUCGUAAACCUCUUUUCCCUGAGAAGAAGAUCUGACGGUAUCAGGGGAAUCAGCAUCGGCUAACUUCGUGCCAGCAGCCGCGGUAAUACGAGGGAUGCAAGCGUUAUCCGGAAUUAUUGGGCGUAAAGCGUCCGCAGGUGGCUCUGUAAGUCUGUCGUUAAAGAAUGGGGCUCAACCCCAUACAGGCGAUGGAAACUACAAGGCUAGAGUUUGGUAGGGGUCACGGGAAUUCUUAGUGUAGCGGUGAAAUGCGUAGAUAUUAAGAAGAACACCAGCGGCGAAAGCGCGCGACUGGGCCAGUACUGACACUCAUGGACG